CGCGUUUCGCGUGACAGCGGAGGGCUUAACUCUCCGAGGAUGCGAAAGACGGCGGCACUUGAGGCCAGAGAGGACACGGAAUUCCGGGUGGAGUGGUGAAAUGCGUAGAGAUCCGGAGGAACACGAAGGCGAAGGCGGUGUCCUGGCUGGUGACUGACGCUGAGGUGCGAAAGCUAGGGGAGCGAACGGGAUUAGAUACCCCGGUAGUCCUAGCCGUAAACGAUGACCACCAGGUGUGGGAGGUAUCGACCCCUUCCGUGCCGGAGUUAACACACUAAGUGGUCCGCCUGGGGAGUACGGUCGCAAGAUUAAAACUCAAAGGAAUUGACGGGGACCCGCACAAGCAGCGGAGCGUGUGGUUUAAUUCGAUGCGACGCGAAGAACCUUACCAGGGCUUGACGUGCGCCUGCACCUCCUGGAGACAGGAGUCCCUUCGGGGCGGGCGCACAGGUGCUGCAUGGCUGUCGUCAGCUCGUGCCGUGAGGUGUUGGGUUAAGUCCCGCAACGAGCGCAACCCCUGUGGUCGGUUAGGAUGUCCGACCAGACUGCCACGCUAAACGUGGAGGAAGGUGGGGAUGACGUCAAGUCAGCACGGCCCUUACGUCCUGGGCGACACACACGCUACAAUGGCGGUGACAGUGGGACGCAAUGGAGCAAUCCUGCGCAAAUCUCGAAAAGCCGUCUCAGUUCGGAUUGUGCUCUGCAACUCGAGCACAUGAAGUUGGAAUCGCUAGUAAUCGCAGAUCAGCACGCUGCGGUGAAUACGUUCCCGGGCCUUGUACACACCGCCCGUCACACCAUGGGAGUUGGCUUUACCUGAAGACGGUGCGCUAACCGCAAGGAGGCAGCCGGCCACGGUAGGGUCAGCGACUGGGGGAAGUCGAACCAUGAUGU
rnacentral:rRNA from 1 species